rnacentral:ncRNA from 1 species
UAACGAGCGUUGAGAAGGAAUAGUAAGCAGGACCUGCUGUGUAAAGAGAGCAAAUGACACGCUGAAACAUUUGCCACAGACAGCUGCUGAACCUACCCUUUGAGCCUUAGAGGAAAAAUCUAAGCGCAUGCCUGGCGUUACAGGAGUUAAGUGGAAUAAGCAGACGUAUGCUUAUUCAAUGAAGGUGGUACCACGGAAAAUCCCUUUUUCGUCCUUUAC